CUAUACAACUUGCUAGCUUUCC
rnacentral:miRNA from 10 species